CCCUUAGAUGUUCUGGGCCGCACGCGCGCUACACUGACGAAGUCAGCGAGCAUGUCCUACGCCGAUAGGUGCGGGGAAUCUUGUGAAACUUCGUCGUGCUGGGGAUUGAUUAUUGAAAUUAUUGAUCAUCAACGAGGAAUUCCUAGUGAGCGCAAGUCAGCAGCUUGCGUUGAUUACGUCCCUGCCCUUUGUACACACCGCCCGUCGCUACUACCGAUUGAAUGGUUUAGUGAGAUCUUCGGAUUGGUGCCACCGAGUCCAGCAAUGGACACGGUGAAUAUCGAAAAGUCGAUCAAACUUGAUCAUUUAGAGGAAGUAAAAGUCGUAACA
rnacentral:rRNA from 1 species